rnacentral:rRNA from 1 species
UACGGAGGGAGCUAGCGUUGUUCGGAAUUACUGGGCGUAAAGCGCACGUAGGCGGCGAUUCAAGUCAGAGGUGAAAUCCCCAGGCUCAACCUGGGAACUGCGUCUGAUACUGGAUGGCUUGAAUCCGGGAGAGGGAUGCGGAAUUCCAGGUGUAGCGGUGAAAUGCGUAGAUAUCUGGAGGAACACCGGUGGCGAAGGCGGCAUCCUGGACCGGCAUUGACGCUGAGGAGCGAAAGCGUGGGGAGCGAACAGG